UACGGAGGGAGCUAGCGUUGUUCGGAAUAACUGGGCGUAAAGCGCGCGUAGGCGGAUUUGUAAGUCAGGGGUGAAAGCCCUGGGCUCAACCUCGGAACUGCCUUUGAUACUGCAAGGCUGGAGUACGGUAGAGGUGAGUGGAAUUCCGAGUGUAGAGGUGAAAUUCGUAGAUAUUAGGAGGAACACCAGUGGCGAAGGCGGCUCACUGGACCGGUGCUGACGCUGAGGUGCGAAAGCGUGGGGAGCAAACAGG
rnacentral:rRNA from 1 species